AUGGGGGAAGAUUCUGCCGCCUUUGAGGCAAUUAUGUACAUGGAGAACGCCACAAACAUUGUGGCAAAGGAACUGAAAAUACGAAUGGCUGAGCAAAUGCACCUCGCGCCUUGCCAAGGCGCGAUUCCUAAUUCCUAUCUAGUCCAUGAUGAUGCUCGGCGAGCUGUGGCGCCUGUGAAGCCGCCAUUGCCUUGGCCACCACCGCGGGUAGGAUGGGCGGCCCUAUCAGUGGAUGGACCUUUUUCGUCUAAUGAUGGCACAGCAGCUGCUGGCCGCCGACCCGACAUCCAAGACCUUGACACCGUCUCACCCGAGAUUCGCCGCUACCCCAACCAAAGACACGAGCUGAAAGGACCCGCCUUUCGCACCCCUGGGCUGCCCCCAGUGCCGAGACCCAAUAGGCCGGCCAAAACUAGCCUCCAUCACCUCGUCCUACGGCACCGGGCGCGAGACGAGCUCGGUCCUGCUGCCGGGCGCGAGACGAGCAUAAUCCUGCUGCCGGGCACGAGACAAGCUCGGUCCUGCUGCCGGGCGCGAGACAAGGUCAGUCCUGCUGCCGGGCGCGAGACGAGCCCGGUCCUGCUGCCUGGUGCGAGACGAGUGAUGGACCGCGGCUGGGGAAGGGCCAACCAUCGACGAAGAUUUCCGGCCGCCGCCUUGAACGACCCAAACCACCGCCGUGAGCCACCACCACGUCGUGGCAGCCCACAUCCACACGCCGGGACCACUAGGGGGAGCCCCGCGCCGCCGUACCGACAUGCACCACUGGAAGAGGCAGGCCCAGCAGCAGACGCCGCCAGCCACCCCACCAUGGCACGCCCCUGCUCCGGCCACCUCCAGCACCCAAGGACCGCCGGAGACGACCGGACCACACCGCCUCAGCCCGCCGCCCGCGAGAACUGCCGGCCGGAGGAGGAGCCCGCCAGAUCUGGAUCGGACCGCCACAACCCCGACGCCGCCCACCCUGCGCAGGCACCCUCCGCCGACCCCAGCAGCCCUCCACGCGCCGCCACCGUCGCCGGGAUGACCACCGUCGUCGCGCCCUGCCCAGCGCCGCGCAUACACCCAAGGCGGUUUCCCCGCGCCAGCCAGCCCCGUGCGAAGGGAGAAGAAGGCCCGCCGGCGCGCUUCGGCAGCGGCUGGGGAAGGGCCCCCCCUCCCCCCCGCGCGCGAGCGGGCGAGUCGGGAGUACUAUGUCCUUUCAACUGUAAUGAGGUGGUGGAGUCAGAGAUCCAUGCACUGAUGCAAGGUAUGGCACUGGCCAUACAACAUACGGAUCUGCUGAUCCUCGUUCAAUCUGACUCGUCUGAAGCUCUUUCUAUCCUGACCGAUGAUACUCUUUCCUGGUCGGCAUAUGGUCAUUUAGCUACUGAGAUUAAGGCCCUUAUGGAAGGGAGGGAGUUUGUUCCACAGCAAAUUAGAAGAGAGCAAAAUAGGGUAGCAGAUCAAUUGGCUGUUUACGGUCGUACUGAGUCUUGCAUGGCUAUUUGGAUGAACAAAGCUGCAUGCACGAAAGGCCUACUCUUUUUGGAGGCCCUGGGCUGCUCGAGCUUGACUGAACUGGGUAGCUUGCUGUACCUCCCCAUGUGCCCGCGUCUGCAUGUUGAUUACCCGGUCGAUAAAAAGGAGGAUAUAGUGAUAUGGCCACUUCGUGAAAUACUACACAUAUGUGCCUCACCGAGUCACCGCCGUCAUGUAACCCUCUCCCCCCUUCUUCUCCGGCGCCGGCGACCCACCCCCGCACCCACACCCACGACAUUCACCUCUUUGCCUCACAAGCUGUCAGUUUUCUUUUCCAAUGAAAUCGACUAA
rnacentral:rRNA from 1 species